rnacentral:rRNA from 1 species
ACCCUAUAGAAUUUUAUAUUAUUUGAAUAUUUUGUUAUUAGGGUUUUAAUAUAGAAUUUUUUAAUUAGUAUUUAGUUGGGGUGAUUGAAAAAUUUAAUAAACUUUUUUUUAUUAUUAACAUUAAUAUAUGAUUAUAUGAUCCAGUUUUUCUGAUUAUAAGAUUAAAUUACCUUAGGGAUAACAGCGUAAUUUUUUUAGAGAGUUCUAAUCGAUAAAAGAGAUUGCGACCUCGAUGUUGGAUUAAAGUUUAUUUUUAAUGUAGGAGUUAAAAUAUUAGGUCUGUUCGACCUUUAAAACUUUACAUGAUCUGAGUUUAAACCGGUGUGAGCCAGGUUGGAUUCUAUCUUUAAUUAAAUUAAAUGUUUUAGUACGAAAGGACCAAGUAUUUGUUAUAAUAAUUUUAUUAGAA